ensembl:snRNA U6 U6 spliceosomal RNA
GUGCUAAUACAUAUUAGCGUAGCACAUAACACUAAAAUUGGAAUGAUACAGAGAUUAGAAUGGCUCUUCUGCAAGGAUGACACACAAAUUUGUGAAGUGUCCUCUGAAGAG